rnacentral:rRNA from 1 species
UACGUAGGGUGCAAGCGUUGUCCGGAAUUAUUGGGCGUAAAGGGCGCGUAGGCGGUUCGGCAAGUCUCUAGUGAAAUCUCUGGGCUCAACUCAGAGUCUGCUGGGGAAACUGCCGGGCUUGAGUGUGGGAGAGGAGAGUGGAAUUCCCGGUGUAGCGGUGAAAUGCGGCAGAUAUCGGGAGGAACACCAACGGCGGAAGGCAGCACUCUGGGCUGGAACGUG